rnacentral:tRNA from 1 species
CAGGAUAGCUCAGUUGUAGAGCAAAGACUGAAAUUC